rnacentral:rRNA from 1 species
GAUGAACGCUAGCUACAGGCUUAACACAUGCAAGUCGAGGGACCGACGCAUGGGUGAGUCAUACGUAACCAACCUGCCAUUUACUCGGGGAUAGCGUUUAGAAAGAAAGAUUAAUACCCGAUGUAAAGGAUGGGGAUGCGUUUCAUUAGGGUGUUGGUGAGGUGACGGCUCACCAAGCCUUCGAUGGAUAGGGGUUCGGGGAGUAAGGUCCCCCGCAUUGGAACUGAGACACGGUCCAAACUCGUACGGGAGGCAGGAGUUAGGAAUAUUGUUCACUGAGCGUUAGCGUGAACCGGCCAAGUAGCGUGAAGGGUGAAUGGUUAUGAGUCGUAACCUUCUGUUAAAUAAGAAGAGGUAUUAUAUGAAUAAGGAUCGGCUAACUCCGUGCCAGCAGCCGCGGUAAUAC